rnacentral:rRNA from 1 species
AGUUUGAUCCUGGCUCAGAACGAACGCUGGCGGCGUGUUUAAGACAUGCAAGUCGAACGGGUUGAAGUUGUAGCAAUACCGCUUCAACCAGUGGCGCACGGGUGCGUAACACGUGAGUUACAUGCCCUGCAGUGGGGAAUAGCCCGCCGAAAGGCGGAUUAAUACCCCAUGGUUCCCGCAAGGGUAAAGGUGGCCGCAAGGCUGCCGCUGCAGGAUUGGCUCGCGGCCUAUCAGCUUGUUGGUGAGGUAACGGCUCACCAAGGCAACGACGGGUACCUGGUCUGAGAGGAUGAUCAGGCACACUGGAACUGAGACACGGUCCAGACACCUACGGGUGGCAGCAGUCGAGAAUAAUUCACAAUGGGCGAAAGCCUGAUGGUGCAACGCCGCGUGGAGGAUGAAGGUCUUCGGAUUGUAAACUCCUGUCAUCGGGGAGUAAGACCUGGGCGUGAAUAGCGCACAGGGUUGAUAGUACCCGAAGAGGAAGGGACGGCUAACUUCGUGCCAGCAGCCGCGGUAAUACGAAGGUCCCAAGCGUUGUUCGGAAUCACUGGGCGUAAAGGGAGCGUAGGCGGCGUGGUAAGUCAGAUGUGAAAUCCCGGGGCUCAACCCCGGAACUGCAUCCGAUACUGCCGUGCUUGAG